UGGGGAAUAUUGCACAAUGGGGGAAACCCUGAUGCAGCAACGCCGCGUGAGCGACGAAGGCCUUCGGGUCGUAAAGCUCUGUCUUCGCUGACGAAUAAAUGACGGUAAGCGAGGAGGAAGCCACGGCUAACUACGUGCCAGCAGCCGCGGUAAUACGUAGGUGGCAAGCGUUGUCCGGAAUUAUUGGGCGUAAAGGGUGCGUAGGCGGUUUUUUAAGUGGGAUGUGAAAUACCUAGGCUUAACUUAGGAAUGGCAUUCCAAACUGGAAGACUAGAGUGCAGGAGAGGAAAGUGGAAUUCCCAGUGUAGCGGUGAAAUGCGUAGAGAUUGGGAGGAACACCAGUGGCGAAGGCGACUUUCUGGACUGUAACUGACGCUGAGGCACGAAAGCGUGGGGAGCAAACAGG
rnacentral:rRNA from 2 species